ensembl:snRNA Gm23928 predicted gene, 23928
AUUAAGAUCUUCUAGAGUGUGGUUUUCCCAGGGCGAGGCUUAUCCAUUGCACUCUGGAUAUGCUGACCCCUGCGAUUUUCCCAAAUGCAGGAAACUGGACUGCAUAAUUUGUGGUAGUGGGGUACUGUGUUCGCACUUUCCCUGG